rnacentral:tRNA from 1 species
GCGGCCGUGGUCUAGUCUGGUUUAGGACUCAGGCCUUCCAAGCCUGCAAUCCCGGGUUCAAAUCCCGGCGGCCGCACCA